rnacentral:rRNA from 1 species
UUCGGCGGGCCCGCCUUCAUGGCCGCCGGGGGGCUUCUGCCCCCGGGCCCGCGCCCGCCGGAGACUCCAACAUUGAACACUGUCUGAAGGUUGCAGUCUGAGUUUUCAUAUAAGAAAAAUCGUUAAAACUUUCAACAACGGAUCUCUUGGUUCCGGCAUCGAUGAAGAACGCAGCGAAAUGCGAUACGUAAUGUGAAUUGCAGAAUUCAGUGAAUCAUCGAGUCUUUGAACGCACAUUGCGCCCUCUGGUAUUCCGGGGGGCAUGCCUGUCCGAGCGUCAUUGCUGCCCUCAAGCACGGCUUGUGUGUUGGGCCCCCGUCCCGGUUCUUUAAGCCGGGACGGGCCCGAAAGGCAGCGGCGGCACCGUGUCCGGUCCUCGAGUGUAUGGGGCUCUGUCACCCACUCGUGUAGGUCCGGCCGGCGGCCAGCCUCUUCAACCAAACUUUUAACCAGGUUGACCUCGGAUCAGGUAGGGAUACCCGCUGAACUUAAGCAUAUCAA